rnacentral:rRNA from 1 species
CCUACGGGUGGCAGCAGUGAGGAAUAUUGGUCAAUGGCCGGGAGGCUGAACCAGCCAAGUCGCGUGAGGGAAGACGGCCCUACGGGUUGUAAACCUCUUGUGUCAGGGAGCAAGGUGCAGGUCGGGACCUGCUGUGCGAGUACCUGUAGAACAAGCAUCGGCUAACUCCGUGCCAGCAGCAGCGGUAAUACGGAGGAUGCGAGCGUUAUCCGGAUUUAUUGGGUUGAAAGGGUGCGCAGGCGGAGGCGAAAGUCCGCGGUAAAAUCGAGGGGCUCAACCCCGGUCUGCCGUUGAAACUGUGGCCCUUGAGUGCGCGAAGGGUAGGCGGAAUGCGUGGUGUAGCGGUGAAAUGCAUAGAUAUCACGCAGAACUCCGAUCGCGAAGGCAGCCUACCGGAGCGCAACUGACGCUCAUGCACGAAAGCGUGGGUAUCGAACAGGAUUAGAUACCCCAGUAGUC